UCGGAAGAUUAGUAGAGUGGCGCACGGGUGAGUAACGCGUAAGUAAUCUACCCUCGCAUUUGGGAUAACCCACCGAAAGGUGUGCUAAUACCGGAUACGUCUAAGAUAAUAUCUUUUUUUUAGAGAAAGGUGGCCUCUGAUUCAAGCUACUGUGCGGGGAGGAGCUUGCGUACCAUUAGCUAGUUGGUAGGGUAAUGGCCUACCAAGGCAACGAUGGUUAGCGGGUCUGAGAGGAUGAUCCGCCACACUGGAACUGAAACACGGACCAGACUCCUACGGGAGGCAGCAGUGAGGAAUAUUGCGCAAUGGGGGCAACCCUGACGCAGCGACGCCGCGUGGAUGAUGAAGGCCUUCGGGUUGUAAAAUCCUGUCAGAUGGGAAGAAGUGCUAUAUGGUUAAUAUCUGUAUAGUUUGACGGUACCAUCAAAGGAAGCACCGGCUAACUCCGUGCCAGCAGCCGCGGUAAUACGGAGGGUGCAAGCGUUGUUCGGAAUUACUGGGCGUAAAGCGCGCGUAGGCGGUCUGUUAUGUCAGGUGUGAAAGUCCAUGGCUCAACCAUGGAAGUGCAUUUGAAACUGACAGACUUGAGUACUGGAGGGGGUGGUGGAAUUCCCGGUGUAGAGGUGAAAUUCGUAGAUAUCGGGAGGAAUACCGGUGGCGAAGGCGACCACCUGGCCAGAUACUGACGCUGAGGUGCGAAAGCGUGGGGAGCAAACAGGAUUAGAUACCCUGGUAGUCCACGCCGUAAACGAUGUGAACUAGGUGUUGGGAUGGUUAAUCGUCUCAUUGCCGGAGCUAACGCAUUAAGUUCACCGCCUGGGGAGUACGGUCGCAAGAUUAAAACUCAAAGAAUUGACGGGGGCCCGCACAAGCGGUGGA
rnacentral:rRNA from 1 species